CCAAUUAGGAUCAGCUUGGAAUAGUCCUCUUUGGUGUUGAUCACAAGCAUCCUGUGAAUCUAAACAAAAUUUGGAUCGUGAUCAACUCUUUGAUCCUUUUCUCAAUCUUUUUAUUUUCUUUUUCUCUUGCUUUUUUUUCUUCGAUUAUGAAGUAAUAAAGUUUUAAAAACUAGUAAGGAAGAGGAGACGCUUAGGCUCGUCUUCGGCGU
rnacentral:lncRNA from 1 species